GUCUUGGCACCAUAGGCUCUGACCUUUUCUUGUUCCAAGUAAAUCCUGUUUCCAUGAGUGCCAAAGAGUGCAAGGGAGGGAAGGGGACUUGGCAGUUUGCCUUUGCCUUCAUCUGGUCCCCUUCUAUUUCUGCUCCUAUAGAGCAGCGGCGUUCUCACCAGAUUUGCCAUUAGACAUCCCAGGAAAGAGUGGAUUCAGCUCCUAAGUUCCACUGUGUCAGUAACUGCGUCCACUUCAGGGUCCUGGGCUUGAGGUUGUGGUGCUACUGUGUAAGCACAGCUUAUGCCUUGCUUGUAUCUGGCCUGACAGUGGAAUGGAGCUUUGGGACCACCUCAUCCUGUUUCUCCCCUUCAGACUUGGAAACCAAGGCUAUACAGGGAUGUGCACUUGUAGCUCACUCAGCAGGUUGGCAUCAGGUCUAAGACCAGAACCCAAGUCAUAUGGCAGGUGGCUGAGUCGGGAUGUGUCUCUGUUUUCCUAAGCUUGCAAGUCUCUGGUCCUCUCAGCCUCACCUCCAGAGCCUAGGCUUGGAGGAAGCUCUGGGAUGGCCUUUAAGCCCUAACCCAAGUUGGGUCCUACAGCUACCUUAGCGAGACAUGAGAGUCAAGGAGCCUGUGUCUGCAGUCUAAGAGAUUCGGCCUGCAUGAGGCAUGGUUUCUCAGCUGCCAAAUCUAUACUCUUAGCCUCUGAUUGCUCUCCCUGGGUCUUUCUUCAAAAGAGGAAGGUUGUAUUUUACCAGGCAAGAACGUUAAAAUUCUCUGAUGAUGCACGUGACCUACCUCCCGUAGUCACCUCCAAGCUUGAAGCCUCUGCCUACUUCCUAUGUUUCUUCCUGCCGAGACUUCUAUGGUACCUCAUCAUCCUAAGGCCAGCACUAGAAGGAAACUGGAGAGAAAAGACCAGAUGUUCUGACACCUGUUCUGGAACGUUCCAUCGAGAGAGAUUCUAUGAGAACUAACAUCACGUUAUUACUGUCUAGUCCGGCCCAGUCUCUGUGAAGAGGAUUUCAAAGUUGUCAGGCG
rnacentral:lncRNA from 1 species